rnacentral:lncRNA from 1 species
AUGCACUUGAUCUCUGCCUUGUCUCUAUGAGCAGGUACACUUUGAGCAAAACACGGAGGAGUUUUAUAACUCUCAGACUCUACCAAGUGAAGGACCUGGAUCUACGAGCACAAACACACUGAGCAGGUUACUGCCAACGCCGCACAUCGAAUUGCUGGGCAAACGAAGAACAUGGGUGACACCGUAUCAAGAGGUGCAGACGUCAAGGUCCGCACCUGAAUCAAAUGACGCACCUGAAGAAUGAACACGGUGAGAAGUCUUGUUCAGAAGACUUAAAACAUUCAACCAUCACCGAAAGGUAAGAUCGGUAGUUAUCCAUAUUUAUCCUUUCUGCAUUCCCUUUUCCCUUUAAUUAUUUAAUUUCCUUAAAUAGAUUAUUAUUUAAUCAUGCUAUCUUGAAAAGAAACUAAAAAUGUUAAAAAAUACUAAGCCCCA